rnacentral:rRNA from 1 species
AGCGCGGGGAGCUUGCUCCCUGGCGGCGAGUGGCGCACGGGUGAGUAAUACAUCGGAACGUGUCUUCUAGUGGGGGAUAACUGCCCGAAAGGGCAGCUAAUACCGCAUGAGACCUGAGGGUGAAAGCGGGGGAUCGCAAGACCUCGCGCUGGAAGAGCGGCCGAUGUCCGAUUAGCUAGUUGGUGAGGUAAAGGCUCACCAAGGCGACGAUCGGUAGCUGGUCUGAGAGGACGACCAGCCACACUGGGACUGAGACACGGCCCAGACUCCUACGGGAGGCAGCAGUGGGGAAUUUUGGACAAUGGGGGCAACCCUGAUCCAGCCAUGCCGCGUGCAGGAUGAAGGUCUUCGGAUUGUAAACUGCUUUUGUCAGGGACGAAAAGGGAUGCGAUAACACCGCAUUCCGCUGACGGUACCUGAAGAAUAAGCACCGGCUAACUACGUGCCAGCAGCCGCGGUAAUACGUAGGGUGCAAGCGCUAAUCGGAAUUACUGGGCGUAAAGCGUGCGCAGGCGGUUCUGUAAGAUAGAUGUGAAAUCCCCGGGCUCAACCUGGGAAUUGCAUAUAUGACUGCAGGACUUGAGUUUGUCAGAGGAGGGUGGAAUUCCACGUGUAGCAGUGAAAUGCGUAGAUAUGUGGAAGAACACCGAUGGCGAAGGCAGCCCUCUGGGACAUGACUGACGCUCAUGCACGACAGCGUGAGGAGCAAACAGGAUUAGAUACCCUGGUAGUCCACGCCCUANACGAUGUCUACUAGUUGUUGGGGA